rnacentral:rRNA from 1 species
ACGGGGCGCAGCAGGCGCGAAACCUUUUCAAUGCGCGCAAGCGUGAGAAGGGAAUUCCAAGUGCUCAAGUUUUACUUGGGCUUUUGCUAAGUGUAAAAAGCUUGGCGAAUAAGGGGUGGGCAAGACUGGUGCCAGCCGCCGCGGUAACACCAGCGCCUCGAGUGGGGAUCGCGAUUAUUGGGUCUAAAGCGUUCGUAGCAGGCUUUGUAAAUGCUUUGUGAAAUCGGCAGGCUUAACCUGUCGGCGUGCAGAGUAGACUGCAAAGCUCGAGACCGGGAGAGGUUAGCAGUAUUCCUAGGGUACCGGUAAAAUGGGUUAAUCCUAGGAGGACUACCAAUGGCGAAGGCAGCUAACCAGAACGGUUCUGACUGUGAGGGACGAAAGCUAGGGGAGCAAAACGGAUUAGAUACCCGAGUAGUCCUAGCCGUAAACGCUGUGAGCAAGGUAUUGCGCCUCCUACGAGGAUGCGCAGUGUCGAAAUGAAGAUGUUAAGCUCACCACCAGGGAAGUACGGUCGCAAGGCUGAAACUUUAAGGAAUUGGCGGGGGAGCAC